rnacentral:rRNA from 1 species
UACGUAGGGUGCGAGCGUUAAUCGGAAUUACUGGGCGUAAAGCGUGCGCAGGCGGUUUUGUAAGCCAGAUGUGAAAUCCCCGGGCUCAACCUGGGAAUGGCAUUUGGGACUGCAAGGCUUGAGUGCGGCAGAGGAGACUGGAAUUCCUGGUGUAGCAGUGAAAUGCGUAGAUAUCAGGAGGAAUACCGAUGGCGAAGGCAGGUCUCUGGGCUGACACUGACGCUCAUGCACGAAAGCGUGGGGAGUAAACAGG